UGGGUGACUUUUAUCCUCUCCUUCCUCCUCCUCCUCCUGUUGUCCAGUACCUGUCACUUGGUCCUUUGCUGCAUCAUGGGGCUGCCCUGUGAGAGGAGGAAUGUGAGAGGGGAUCGUAUGGAGGGAGGCUGGGGCUUUGCUGAAGGGAGUGAUAAUCUGAGCAGGAACAUUCUGAGAUUGGUUGCUCUUGGAAGGGAACCUGUGGGCUAAAACUUACCACUCUCUACAACUUCCUGAAGGGUAGCUGCAGUCAGGUGGGGUUGGGCUCUUUCUCCAGGCAGCACCGACAGAACCAGAGGUCACAUUCUCAAGCUGCAUCACGGGAAAUACAGUUGGAGCUAGAAUGGUGCCAAUCAUACAGAAAUAUUUGGGGUUUUUCUGGGCAGUGCUUGCCCUCCUCUGCAAAAGGUCAUGAAGGUGGAUGUGAUCAAGAGGCUGGGAGACGACAUAGCCAGGCUGCCUGACCCAUGCUGAUCAAAGGGAUAUUUGAUACCAUGUGACAUCAUGGUCAGCAAAAAAUGCUGAGAGAAAGAAGGAGAGAGCUGGCAGGGGAGCAUUUAUUAAUAGAUUGUUUGUCAAGAAAGAAACUGCUAAGUGUACUGUAUUACUGCUUCCCAGGAGAGGCUGGCCAUUGACAGUUGAUGGAAGAUGAUAAUAAAACUAUUUUUUUUCCUGUGUUU